rnacentral:rRNA from 1 species
UACGUAGGGGGCAAGCGUUGUCCGGAUUUACUGGGUGUAAAGGGCGUGUAGCCGGAGAGACAAGUCAGAUGUGAAAUCCACAGGCUCAACCUGUGAACUGCAUUUGAAACUGUUUCCCUUGAGUAUCGGAGAGGUAACCGGAAUUCCUAGUGUAGCGGUGAAAUGCGUAGAUAUUAGGAAGAACACCAGUGGCGAAGGCGGGUUACUGGACGACAACUGACGGUGAGGCUCGAAAGUGUGGGUAUCAA